UACGGGGGGGGCAAGCGUUGUUCGGAAUUACUGGGCGUAAAGGGCGCGUAGGCGGCCUGCUAAGUCGGACGUGAAAUCCCUCGGCUCAACCGAGGAACUGCGUCCGAUACUGGUGGGCUUGAAUCCGGGAGAGGGAUGUGGAAUUCCAGGUGUAGCGGUGAAAUGCGUAGAGAUGCGGAGGAACACCGAUGGCGAAGGCAGCCCCCUGGGCUGACACUGACGCUCAGGCACGAAAGCGUGGGGAGCAAACAGG
rnacentral:rRNA from 1 species